rnacentral:misc_RNA from 1 species
UUGCAAACCGCAAAAGAUCGAGAAAUAACAGAAACGCUUAUAUGAAUCCUGUUUUUCUUUCAUUUGACACGCAAAAUUCAUUCAAAAUGUAGCUGUAAUACUUCUUAAAGAGAAGAAGCACCGAUCUGUGUGGUUUAUUUGCUCAGAAGUAAAAAUAAUGCGGCUGUACGUGCUCGGUGCGUGUGGGGUAGUGUUCCUUCUGUUAUGGCAGCUGGGGAUUUUCCAUUCCCUUUUUUUGACAUUGGCCUACAUUUGUGCUUCUGUUCUUGGCAUUUUAACUGGAAUAGUCAUGUAUCUUGGCUCUGGAAAACAAAAGAUACCACAAACUCCAAAGCUUUCGUCGAAAUUCUACGCUGUUUCGCGCUUUCUCGAGAAGAAAACCCUGAACGCCGUUCAAAGACCAUACAAGCACGAAACUGUCAUCUCGCGUUCCGUGGACAAGAGCAUCCAGGAGAUUCUUGAUUUCUUCAUAAGGGACUUCUGUUUGUCUUGGUUUCGGGUUCUUGGCAAGGAUGAAGUAGCGUUUGUAGAUCUAAUGACCGAAGAGCUAUGGGCUGUCAUUAUUAAUACAGUUGAAAGAUUGAAGAACGUUGAUACGGUGAGGUUUCUUUCUAGUGAUGUUGUCGAAAUCUUGACGACGCAUUUCCAAAACCUGAGGUUAGCAGAUAACCGGAUUACUACAGAAACACCUGUACCGUUUGUCUUACAUCCCUGUCUGUCAAGUAAGAAAGCUGAAGUUGAUUAUAUUAGAAAAAUCACAGAUGUUCUCUUACACUGUUUUCUGCCUGAGCAAAAUUCGAAUUGUGCUGGAAUGAGAUGUCUUCUGAGAGAGGUUCUGACGUUUUCAGUGAUUAAGCCUUUGGCGGAGAUGAUCUGUGAUCCAGAUUACAUCAAUCAGACAUUGUUAAUCCAUUUAGAGGCAAAAGAAGCAUUGACAGCCAAGCAUAAACCACGUUAUGCUUAUGCAGAGACCUAUGAAGACUUUAUUCGCAUGAUCAACACCUGUAAUUCUGUUGAAACUUUAAAACAAAUGAGAUAUCACAUAAUUGCUGAAAUCAUGCAAGCAACAACAAUCAAUAAUUUAAAAGGCAUUGAGAAGUUGAACCAAGAGGAGACAAAUCAACCUCUUAAGAAAGACUCUCAACUGAGGUCAAGAAACCUGAAGCGCUACAUCAACCAGUGUACUGUUGCCAAGGCACAGUGUGAGAAAAGAAUAAAGCUGUUGGGUGGCCCAGAUUAUACAUCACACAAUCCAACUGAACAGCAGAAAAGUCAAACUAUGACAUCAGACAAGGCAAAAGGUGUUCCAAAACCAGCUAAUAAGGCUACAAAAGUACUUGGUUUCAGUGAAAUUAUGGAUAAUAGUCUGGCUAGAAGCUUCUUCAUGUCUUACCUACAGAACCACACCCAUAGCAAGAAUAUGCUUAGUUUCUGGAUGGCAAUAGAAAAUCUCAAGCUAGUCAAGUCUACUGAAAUCAUCAAGAGUACACAAGAAAUCUACCAAGUGUACGUCACACCUUCAUCAGAGAAGUCCAUUAUGCUUGACACUACCUUGGUCAGAGACAUAGAGGGUUUUCUCAAUGGUACUAAUGAUUUGCAGUGCUUUUUUGAAGCACAGACAAAAGUUUACAAACACCUGGAAAAUAAUUUCUAUAGGAGGUUUGUUUUGAGCCAGGAGUAUUUCAUGCUUGUCUGUCAAUUAGAAGCUGAAAUGGAUGACUUGCGAGCACAACAGAAAGAUGAUACUCACCUUGAGUUGAACUGGAAUGAUCAAUUACCUUCCACUGAUGAAGAGGAUGCUGGACAUACUGAUUGGACUCCCAACCCAGUGCGCAAGCCAAGCACAGUUGAAGAAAGAAGUGAUUCCAUUGUCAAGCAACUGGAGGUUUUAGACCAAAGACUAGCUGCAAAAACACACCAAUUAGAGUUGACAAAAAGAAGUUAUGGUGGACAAGAAUCUGAGGAACUUGAAAAGAUAGAAGAUGAAAUUGGAGCGCUGAUUACUGAGAGGAGACAUCUUGAGUUUCAUAUUGAAAGAACAGAUGUUUGGUGUGAAAACAUUGGCAAAUGGAAAGUGUUGAUUGAAAGUGUAGAGUGGACAAAUGAAGAAGACAAGUCUAUUCCAGUCUAUAUCAUUGUGGUUCAUUGUUCACAAGUAGAUACCCCAAUAUCUCCUGGUACCGUUCCAAAAAGAAGUGAACCUGGAGCUACAUCUGAAGGAUGGGUGGUUUCCAGGAAAUUUAAAGAUUUCCAGAAACUUCAUACCAAACUCAAAGAGUGUUCACCAAAUUUAACAAAAGAACUACCAGCCCCCACUAAAAAGUGGUACAAGUCACUGGAUGAUGAGUUUUUGAAUAAAUCACGAAUAGCUCUUGAGGAAUAUUUACAGAGUCUUUUGGCUGAUGACAAGCUGUGUCUUAGUGAAGAACUCUACUCAUUCUUAAGCCCAAGCCCUGAACACUUGAGGAAGCAAAGUGAACCUACCAAGAAGAAAGAGUUUUCCUUCAUGUCAGUCUUGAAAAGCCUUCCUUUUGAUAUAAUUCUAAAUGAUGAAGCAGAGGAGUACCCUUCCUAAGGAUUCUAUAGCUGAGCCUUUUUAUGGUCUCAUUGGAGAAGUGUUUGAGCUCAAGGGAGUAUUUAAGUGGCUUAGAAGAACACUGAUUGCCUUUGUUCAAGUUACCUUUGGAGGGACAAUAAACAAGGAAAUUCGAGAGAUGGUAGAGUGGCUUGUGUCAGAAUCCAUGGUUAUCUACUAUGUGAAUAUGUUUAGAGAUUCC